rnacentral:ncRNA from 1 species
CAGAGUAGAGCGUUGAGCGUUUAAGUGCAUUAUGUACGGGGAGUUGGCAUAGUGACGAAAAGCCAUUGGGUUUGCGGUUCGGCGUUCGCAUCCCGCUGC